CUUUGAGUGAUUGUUUUGGAUAGUUUUUGUUUUCUUGCUGUCUGUUUAGAGUAGUGGUUCUCAAACCCUGCUUGGGCCAUCCCACUGGGGAGCUGGGACACCACCUGGCACUGUGGUGGCAGUGGGGGUGACACUCAGACAAGGGCCAUCGAGGGCCCCUGGACCAGAAAGCGAAGAGGGCGUUGGGGGCAGGAGGCCUGUGGGGCCAUGUGUGGGGGCCGUCUGGGUGGCGGGAGCUGUUGGGGCAGGGCUGAGCGCCCUCAGCAGCCCACUGGAGAAAGCGCUGCUGGGGUCCUCGUGUGGGGCCCAGGGCCCGACGUGGAAGCAAUGGAGGGCUGCAGGGGGUGGCAGUGGGGAUGAAUGAGUAAGGACAGAGUGCAGCCUGGGUCUCAGACAGGGGGUGGGGGACAGGCCACAGAGAUUCCCUAUCUCAGCAGAGAGGAGACAGGCUCAGGCUGCCACGCCUUGCCAAAACCCAGCCUGGCCAGGCCAGCCCGGCACCUUCCACCUAGAUAAGUUGUGCUGCUCCAGAGAAAGAGCCUGGGGUCAGAGUGGACCUGCGAUGCAUGGCACAACCUGCUGGACAGUGGCGAUGAGGGGUUCAGGGACCUGGGCACCCAGAAGCGGGCACCUGAUAUUCCCAGCAAGGUUUAAUCAAAAUGCAAUGCUUUGCAAGUCUUUACUGCUUGGAGGUGGCUGAGUUGGGGGCCCUGGGCAGGGGUAAGCUGGCAGGCAGUGCCAUGGCAGGCCAGGGUCCCCUCCC
rnacentral:lncRNA from 1 species